GACAUAUAAGUCAGCUGUGAAAGUUUACGGCUCAACCGUGAAAUUGCAGUUGAUACUGUAUGUCUUGAGUGUACAAGAGGUGGGCGGAAUUCGUGGUGUAGCGGUGAAAUGCUUAGAUAUCACGAAGAACUCCAAUUGCGAAGGCAGCUCACUGGGGUACAACUGACACUGAGGCUCGAAAGUGUGGGUAUCAAACAGGAUUAGAUACCCUGGUAGUCCACACAGUAAACGAUGAAUACUCGCUGUUUGCGAUAUACAGUAAGCGGCCAAGCGAAAGCAUUAAGUAUUCCACCUGGGGAGUACGCCGGCAACGGUGAAACUCAAAGGAAUUGACGGGGGCCCGCACAAGCGGAGGAACAUGUGGUUUAAUUCGAUGAUACGCGAGGAACCUUACCCGGGCUUGAAUUGCAGAGGAACAUAGUUGAAAGAUUAUGGCCGCAAGGUCUCUGUGAAGGUGCUGCAUGGUUGUCGUCAGCUCGUGCCGUGAGGUGUCGGCUUAAGUGCCAUAACGAGCGCAACCCUUAUCAUUAGUUACUAACAGGUCAUGCUGAGGACUCUAGUGAGACUGCCGUCGUAAGAUGUGAGGAAGGUGGGGAUGACGUCAAAUCAGCACGGCCCUUACGUCCGGGGCUACACACGUGUUACAAUGGGGGGUACAGAGGGCAGCUACCGGGCGACCGGAUGCCAAUCCCAAAAACCUCUCUCAGUUCGGAUCGAAGUCUGCAACCCGACUUCGUGAAGCUGGAUU
rnacentral:rRNA from 1 species